CCGCAGUUGCGAGGCGAGGCGUGGCUCAGCAUGAGAAAUUUUAAUCUUCAGGUUCGGUGGCUGCGGGGCUGCUCCCGGGCGAGUCGGGCGGCUGCUGGCGGCGCCCCUGGCUGUGCUUGGGGGGAGGGGUCGAGCCUGCGCCUGAUGGUUUUAUCCCUGGUACGGGUGGAACGGCCGUGAGCUGUACCAGCUGGUGCCAAAGCAACGAGUCAGGAGUAAGUCUCUCUACAUUUAUGAUUAAUCACCUGUACCUUCUCUUCUCGGAUACUGAAAUCAAUCCAGUAUUAUUAGAAAAGCUCCAGGAGCAACAAAACUGAUGUUUCUUGUCCCUGACACAAGUUGAAGACAAGGAAGUCUUAUUUCAGACAGAGAUAGGAUGUGAAAAAUUUCCAAGGGUCCACAACAUGAAGUACUUGGAUCAAGCUUUUUGAUCAAGGAUGGUUAUGACUACUCUGAAGAGUCCCACAAUAGUACAUAAUACUGUAUUUGCAAAGGAGAAUUUUCAGUGUACUGGAAUGCUGUAUCUUCAAGUUGGAAGCAGUUCUACCCAAUGUUAGAAGAAUAUGAUUUGUUUUCCUGGAUUCCUAUGGUCAAACUGUCGCAGCAUGAGAUUUGUGUACUUGCAUAACCUUUCCAGUUCAUCAUCUAGUGCUAACAAUGACUUAACAAUGCAAUGUAUGAGCAAAGCAUUCCUAGGGCGGACAUCGUU
rnacentral:lncRNA from 1 species